rnacentral:rRNA from 1 species
GACGGAGGGUGCUAGCGUUGUUCGGAAUGACUGGGCGUAAAGGGCGCGUAGGCGGCUCGUGAAGUCGGGUGUGAAAGCCCGGGGCUCAACCCCGGAACGGCAUCCGAUACUGGCGGGCUUGAGACCGGGAGAGGAGGGUGGAAUACCCAGUGUAGAGGUGAAAUUCGUAGAUAUCGGGAGGAACACCAGUGGCGAAGGCGGCGACCUGGGCAGAUACUGACACUGAGGUGCGAAAGCGUGGGGAGCAAACAGG